rnacentral:lncRNA from 1 species
AAUCCCCUGAUCAGUGCCCCGUUGCUCAUAGCUGUAAACCUCUUUCUGCCUCACCCUUGAUUGCCUCCCUUAUUUCUUAUUGCCCUGCCCACUUCCUUACUUCCUGUAUUCACCAACCGCGUAAAAUACUGACACUCCUCAUCCUUGUCCCAGAGUCUGCUUUUAGGGAAAUCAAACCUAAGGACACUGAGGUUUAGAAUGUGAAUAAUCUGUUUAUCGAUUGGCAAACUCAAGCUGUCAACCAGAAUGCAUGCUCAGAAACACCAGCCCUUCCUGCUCCCUGGAUGGUAAAUGCCUCAAAGCAGGCUAAGAAAUACUCUGUUCUUAACAUGGUGGGUUUCAAACGCAAGCAAAAGUUAACAGUAGCGUGUACUUCUGCAGGUCAAUGCCGGUUUAUGUUCUGGGGUGUCUCCUUUCUACCCCAGGACAUCAGGACACGCACUUUAGGCACCGGUCGCUAAGUGUCUGCGUCACCCUCCCUUGCUGUGGUGCUCUCAUGCGUGCCUCCCUGCUGACUGCGCUCUCCUUGGUGUCUGCAGAUAGCAACUUCAUCCUCGCCAACGCCCAGGUGGCCAAGGGCUUCCCCAUCGUCUACUGCUCGGACGGCUUCUGUGAGCUCGCUGGAUUUGCCCGAACAGAAGUCAUGCAGAAGAGCUGCAGCUGCAAGUUCUUAUUCGGAGUCGAGACCAAUGAACAGCUGAUGCUUCAGAUAGAGAAGUCCUUGGAGGAGAAAACAGAAUUCAAAGGAGAAAUUAUGUUCUACAAGAAGAAUGGGUCUCCAUUUUGGUGCCUGUUGGAUAUUGUUCCCAUAAAGAAUGAGAAGGGAGAUGUGGUCCUUUUUCUGGCCUCGUUCAAAGAUAUAACAGACACGAAAGUGAAGAUUACUCCAGAAGAUAAAAAAGAAGACAAAGCCAAAGGACGAUCCAAAGCUGGAGCCCACUUUGAUUCAGCCAGGAGACGAAGCAGAGCAGUCCUUUAUCACAUCUCUGGCCACCUGCAAAGAAGAGAAAAGAACAAACUGAAAAUAAGCAAUAAUGUUUUCGUGGACAAACCAGCAUUUCCGGAGUAUAAAGUUUCUGACGCAAAGAAGUCCAAAUUCAUACUUUUGCAUUUUAGCACUUUCAAAGCCGGCUGGGACUGGCUUAUUCUAUUGGCGACGUUUUAUGUUGCCGUGACGGUACCUUACAACGUCUGCUUCAUUGGCAACGAUGACCUGUCGACGACGCGGAGCACGACAGUCAGUGACAUUGCAGUGGAGAUUCUGUUUAUUAUAGACAUUAUUUUGAAUUUUCGAACGACCUAUGUCAGCAAGUCUGGCCAAGUCAUCUUUGAAGCGAGAUCAAUCUGCAUUCACUACGUCACCACAUGGUUCAUCAUCGAUCUAAUCGCUGCCCUGCCCUUUGACCUCCUGUAUGCUUUCAACGUCACAGUGGUGUCCCUGGUGCACCUCCUGAAGACCGUGCGGCUGCUGCGCCUCCUGCGCCUCCUGCAGAAGCUGGACCGCUACUCCCAGCACAGCACGAUCGUCCUGACUCUGCUCAUGUCCAUGUUCGCCCUGCUGGCCCACUGGAUGGCGUGCAUCUGGUACGUCAUCGGAAAAAUGGAGAGGGAAGACAACAGCCUUCUGAAGUGGGAAGUUGGCUGGCUCCAUGAGCUGGGGAAGAGACUGGAAUCGCCCUACUAUGGGAACAACACCCUGGGCGGGCCGUCGAUCCGAAGCGCCUAUAUCGCGGCUCUGUACUUCACGCUCAGCAGCCUCACCAGCGUUGGGUUUGGGAACGUCUCUGCUAACACGGAUGCAGAAAAGAUCUUCUCCAUCUGCACCAUGCUGAUCGGCGCCUUGAUGCACGCCCUGGUGUUUGGAAACGUGACGGCGAUCAUCCAGAGAAUGUACUCCAGGUGGUCCCUCUAUCACACCAGAACCAAGGAUCUGAAGGACUUCAUCCGCGUCCAUCACCUGCCCCAGCAGCUCAAGCAGAGGAUGCUGGAGUAUUUCCAGACAACCUGGUCAGUCAACAAUGGAAUAGAUUCCAAUGAGCUUUUGAAGGACUUUCCGGACGAGCUCCGCUCCGACAUCACCAUGCACCUGAACAAGGAGAUCUUGCAGCUGUCCCUGUUCGAGUGCGCCAGCCGGGGCUGCCUGCGGUCGCUGUCUCUGCACAUCAAAACCUCCUUCUGCGCCCCCGGGGAGUACCUGCUGCGCCAGGGGGACGCUUUGCAGGCCAUCUACUUCGUGUGCUCGGGCUCCAUGGAGGUUCUUAAAGACAGCACGGUGCUGGCCAUUCUCGGGAAAGGGGAUUUAAUUGGAGCCAAUCUGUCAAUCAAGGACCAAGUGAUCAAGACCAACGCGGAUGUGAAGGCGCUGACCUACUGUGACCUCCAGUGUAUCAUCCUCAAAGGACUCUUUGAAGUGCUGGACCUGUACCCAGAAUAUGCUCACAAGUUUGUGGAAGACAUUCAGCAUGACCUCACAUACAACCUUCGAGAAGGUCAUGAGAGUGAUGUGAUAUCAAGAUUAUCAAACAAAUCGACAGUCUCACAGUCGGAGCCCAAGGGAAACGGCAGUAUCAAGAAGAGACUGCCGUCCAUCGUGGAAGACGAGGAGGAGGAGGACGACGACGAGGGGGAGGAGACAGCCUCCCUGUCCCCCGUCUACACCAGGGCACCCGCCUCUUCUCGCAGCAAGCGGCCUGGAGGCGGUAAGAGCUACCUGGGCUUAAGCCUGAAGCAGCUGGCCUCGGGAACGGUGCCCUUUCACUCACCUAUCAGAGUCUCCAGUUCAAACUCCCCCAAAACCAAGCAGGAGAUGGAUGCCCCAAACUAUGGCAGAAGAAAAGAGAACUUGAAAUUGCAGCUUUCAACUUGGAACAGUGCUGGACCCCCAGACCUCAGUCCCAGGAUUGUUGAUGGAAUUGAAGAUGGAAACAGCAGUGAAGAAAGCCAGACUUUCGACUUUGGCUCUGAACGAAUCAGACCAGAGCCCAGAAUUUCUCCUCCUCUUGGAGGUAACCACGCUGACUCAGGAGGUCUCCCAGCUCGGCAGGGACAUGAAGACGGUGAUGCAGCUUCUCGAGCACGUCCUGUCUCCGCAGCAGCAGUCCCGGCUUUGCUCUCUGCACACCGCCUCUCUGCGUCCCUCCAGUUUCCAGGGCGGGAUGACCUGGAGCACACACCAGCCCUGUCUGCACUUGCAAGCCGCUGGUGCCGCCUACACCCCAGCCCAGCUCUGCCAGGGGAGUGUCACCCCCGAGAGAUGGAGUGUGGGGCCCUCCUCGGCGGGGGGCAGCCCCCUGCAGACGGGAGCCCAGGAGCAGAGUCCUGCGGGCGUGGAGCUCCGCGCCUCCCCGAGCCUGGAUCACGCGCCUGCCCACUGCCAGGUGGUCCAGGAAGGUCGCCUGCAGCUUCUCAGGUGCAUCUCCCCACAGUCGGACACGACGCUGACGCCGCUGCAGUCCAUCUCGGCCACCCUCUCCUCCUCCGCUUGCUCCUCCUCAGAGACCUCUUUGCACCUGGUUCUCCCCAGCAGAUCAGAGGAGGGCAGCUUGGGCCAGGGAGCCGUGAGUUCCUUCAGUCUGGAAAACCUGCCGGGAUCUUGGGAGCGGGAAAGGCGGGCAUCCAUCUCCACCGAUCCCCUGGAGAGCUUUCCGCUGGAAAUGGUCUCAAGCACAGCAGAAGGGAAAGAUGGCAGAGCCGGGCACGUAUGAUGUCAGUGCAGCUCACCGGUGCCCGCCUCCCCGUCACUGCGGGAUGCCAGCCUGGGGUGGCCUUGCUAGCCCGUGGCAGCGUGACAACUGGGCAGACCCGUGGAAAAUGGGACCAGGCCAGGGCAGAACCACCUCCAUCCUGCAGCAGACACUUCCUACAUCCUAGAGACAAAAUAGGACCCUUUUCCUGUGCAGGUAUUAACCUACUGGUCUGUUUGACAGACUUUGGUGAAAGUCCAAAGACCCUGAGGGUCUGA